GUCUUAUUGAAAUUAAUAAUAAGUCUAUUCUGCCCAUUGAAUUAUUAUUUAAAAGGCUGCAGUAUACUGACUGUACAAAGGUAGCAUAAUCAAUUGUUUCUUAAUUGGAAACUAGUAUGAAAGAAUGGAUGAAAUAUAAUUUGUCUCAAAAUAAAAUUAUUGAAUUUAAAUUAAGAGUAAAAAUGCUUUUAUUUAAUUAUAAGACGAUAAGACCCUAUAGAAUUUAAUAAAUUGUAUUUAUUAAAGAUAUUAUAUUAGAAAAUAUUUAAUAAAUAUUUAUAUUUUAUUGGGAGGAUAUUUAAAUUAAUUUAACUUUAAGGAUUUAUUAACAUAAAUUAAUGAAUAUUUGAUUAUUAUUAUAAUUAUUAGAAUAAAUUACCUUAGGGAUAACAGCGUAAUAAUUUUGGAGAGUUCAUAUUGAUAAAAUUGUUUGCGACCUCGAUGUUGAAUUAUGAUAAAAAUUAAAUGAAGAAAUUUAAAAUUUUAGUCUGUUCGACUAUUAAAAUCAUACA
rnacentral:rRNA from 1 species